UUCUUCAUAAUCAUUAAUUUGUUUUAAACAGAAAUAAAAUCAAUUUUAUAAAAAUUACAAUUUAAAAUUACAUUUUAUAAUAUGUGGAAAGUUGAAAUUAUUCAGCAAAAAAUAUGUCAUUUAUGUGUGCCUUAUCCCAGAUCAAAGUUAGAUCAGUUCCAUGAUGUUAGCCUUCUUAAACUUCUGGAUGGCAAUUUCAAGAGUAUUUUAGUGUGGGACCUGUGAGGUAUUGCAUGAACAAGGAAGCUUUUGUGUUUCAAGCAAAAUUGUUCGUGCUCAACUGAGUAAUGGAAAUAGCUACUGGAUUAGCCUGGUCCAGUGCCUGUUAUGGUUUAUUCCAACAGCUCUUCCAGCUGUUGGAAUAAAUCAUGAUAGGCUCACUACAGUCAUCACUACAGGCUCUAAAUGAUGGGUACCAUUGAGUGCUUCUGGUACCCAUCAGAGGUAAGGUACUGGAAAUAUGUUGUUGUAAAGCUGUCAUUCUCCAAUCAGUCCAUGGCCACAAGGCAUCUUUGGUAACAAAAGAGUGGACUCUUUGGUCAAGUGAUUGGCUAGAAGUUCAGUGUCUGUUAUAAUUCUUCUUUCCACCAACUAUAUUAAAGGCACUUUACUAUAUUGAUCAAUGACAAACUGGUAGGAGAGCUGGAGUAGAUGUAUAAUGGAUAAGACCACCCAUUCCCUCCUGCCUGUGGUAGAUAGAAUUCCCAUCAGUAUUGACUGUUGUUUAACUCAGAUGUUAACAGGUCGUGGCAAAUUCCCCUAUUAUCUCUCCAUUAUGGGAGUUAAUGAUGGAAGUUAUGGUAUGUGGUAUGGUGAUGCAUUGCCCUAUCUACUUUACUGCCCCCAUAUGGAAGUCUUCUGUAGGGCAUCAUAGAUGUGGACUAGAUUAAAUCUGAAAGUGAAGUAUGUCAAAUUUUUGCAGCAAGUCAAGGGAAUUUUGCUAAACUCAGGCAACUGGGGAUGCAAUUAAGCAGCUCUUGGACUGAUCCAGUUUAUAACCAGCUGAUCACAGAGACUUUUUAUAGGAGGAAGGAUGUCUCAUUGUGUAUACUCCAGUUUUCACCUUGGAGCAGUUUCUAGUCUUGAUCCUUUGGGUAAAGAUGAAAUGUGAUGACAACAUCACAAACACAUCAAUAAAUGCCUGAGAUUGAAAGUCUCAGUGGAAGGUGAAACUAUAAUCCUCAGCUCAUUGCUGCAAUUAGGCUGAGGAGAGCGACUGAGUUGGAACUCUAUGCUUAUCAGUUCAAUGUGGCAAUCAAUAGGUGGCAUGUUGAUGUAGCAGUCAAUAGGUGACAUGUUGAAUGUGGCAGUCAGAACUGUAACAGUUUAAUCAUAGUUACUGCUGGAUCACGGUUUGGCAUUGCCUCACUUGUAU
rnacentral:lncRNA from 1 species